UCCCUGAUAGCUCAGUUGGUAAAGAAUCUGCCUGCAAUGCAGGAGACCCUGGUUUGAUUCCUGGGUUGAGAA
rnacentral:tRNA from 1 species